GACGAACGCUGGCGGCGUGCUUAACACAUGCAAGUCGAACGGCAAGGCCCUGCUUUCGUGGUGUGCCCGAGUGGCGAACGCGUGAGUAACACGUGUGUAACCUGCUCUUGAUUUUGGGAUAACUUCAGGAAACUGGGGCUAAUACCGUAUAGCAGCUCCUGUUGCAUGGUGGGGAUUGGAAAGUCUCGGCUGUUGGGGAUGGAUUCGCGGCUUAUCAGCUUGUUGGUGGGGGAGUGGCUUACCAAGGCAGUGAAGGGUAGCCGGCCUGGGAGGGUGGACGGGGACCAUGGGACUAAGGUACGGACCAGAGGCGAACGGGAGACAGCAGGGGGGAAUAUUGCACAGUGAGCCGGAGCCUGAUGCGACAGCGCCGGGUUCGUGAUGCCGGUCUUCGGGUUGUGAACCGCAGUCGCCUAUGACGAAGCGGGAGUGACGGUAAUGAAUGAAGAAGCACCGGCUAACUACGUG
rnacentral:rRNA from 1 species